AAAGACUAUCUAAUACCGUAUACGAUCUACGGAUGAAAGUGGGGGAUCGCAAGACCUCAUGCUCCUGGAACGGUCGAUAUCUGAUUAGCUAGUGGGUGGGGUAAAAGCCUACCAGGGCAACGAUCAGUAGCUGGUCUGAGAGGACGACCAGCCACACUGGGACUGAGACACGGCCCAGACUCCUACGGGAGGCAGCAGUGGGGAAUUGUGGACAAUGGGGGCAACCCUGAUCCACCAAUGCCGUGUGAGUGAAAAAGGCCUUCGAUGUUGUAAAGCUCUUUUGUCAGGGAAGAAACGGUAGUGGCGAAUAACCAUGACUAAUGACGGUACCUGAAGAAUAAGCACCGGUUAACUACGUGCCAGCA
rnacentral:rRNA from 1 species